rnacentral:tRNA from 1 species
GGUAGGUGGCCGAGUGGUUAAAGGCGGCAGACUGUAAAUCUGUUCUCGAAAGGGUACGAUGGUUCGAAUCCAUCCCUGCCC